rnacentral:rRNA from 1 species
AUUGAACGCUGGCGGCAUGCCUUACACAUGCAAGUCGAACGGCAGCACGGGUGCUUGCACCUGGUGGCGAGUGGCGAACGGGUGAGUAAUACAUCGGAACAUGUCCUGUAGUGGGGGAUAGCCCGGCGAAAGCCGGAUUAAUACCGCAUACGAUCUACGGAUGAAAGCGGGGGACCUUCGGGCCUCGCGCUAUAGGGUUGGCCGAUGGCUGAUUAGCUAGUUGGUGGGGUAAAGGCCUACCAAGGCGACGAUCAGUAGCUGGUCUGAGAGGACGACCAGCCACACUGGGACUAAGACACGGCCCAGACUCCUACGGGAGGCAGCAGUGGGGAAUUUUGGACAAUGGGCGAAAGCCUGAUCCAGCAAUGCCGCGUGUGUGAAGAAGGCCUUCGGGUUGUAAAGCACUUUUGUCCGGAAAGAAAUCCUUGGCCCUAAUACGGUCGGGGGAUGACGGUACCGGAAGAAUAAGCACCGGCUAACUACGUG